rnacentral:tRNA from 4 species
GCGCCUAUAGCUCAGUGGAUAGAGCGAUCGCUUGCGGAGCGAUAGGUCGGGUGUUCGAAUCACCCUAGGCGCA